CGCACAUUGCGCCCGCCAGUAUUCUGGCGGGCAUGCCUGUUCGAGCGUCAUUUCAACCCUCCGGGCCCCGCGCCCGGGUGCUGGGGAUCGUCCGCCCCUCCGUGGCGGCCGGCCCCGAAAACUAGUGGCGGUCCCGCGGCGACCUCCUCUGCGCAGUAGCUUUAUAUCUCGCAGCUGGAUAGCAGCGCGGCCACGCCGUAAAACCUCCCUCCCUCACGGGAAGGAAUUUAUCAAUGGUUGACCUCGAAUCAGGUAGGAAUACCCGCUGAACUUAA
rnacentral:misc_RNA from 1 species